rnacentral:rRNA from 1 species
GACGAAGGAUGCAAGCGUUAUCCGGAUUCAUUGGGUUUAAAGGGAGCGUAGGCGGUCCUGUAAGUCAGUGGUGAAAUCUCUCGGCUUAACCGAGAAAUUGCCAUUGAUACUGCAGAACUUGAGUACAGUUGCCGUUGGCGGAAUAUGACAUGUAGUGGUGAAAUACAUAGAGAUGUCAUAGAACACCGAUUGCGAAGGCAGCUAACGAAACUGUAACUGACGCUGAGGCUCGAAAGUGCGGGGAUCAAACGGG